ACUCCAUACUGUACAUGUCGUACUUAAAAUAACUGUCUAUCAUAAUUUUACUUGUUCUCUACGAUUGUAAUAAACUCUACGGAGUAUUAACAUAUUAACAAAUAUACAACGUUUAUAAACUUUUGUGACCGGGUUUACCUGUUAUAACCAUAACCGGAAAUCAGCCAUUGACUAAAAGAAAAUUGUACCGGUAACGGAAGUCAAUUGCAAGGGCUACAUUGUAAAAGUGAUUCUUUCUGCGGCCCGGUUCAGCGUACGUGAAUAUUUUCCUGACCUAUAAACGCAGCAGAACAACAGUAAAGUAUAAAUUAGUUUACCACCUGGAUACUGCCAAAAGUCGUGACACUCUGUACCUGGAUCUACCGGGUGUCUACGAUGUAAACGGAAAGGACAUUCUCACCAAGAAUGUACGAAUGCUAAAUUCGGAGAUGACUACUGUACCAGUUGCCUGAGAGUAGGACAUAAUAACAAUUCAUGUCCAUACAAAGAAAAAAAGGAAUUCUUGGGUCAAGAAGAAAAUCGUUUCCAAAAAUAAAUUCUUAAAUUAAAAUAUUCUCUUUUCUUGUUUGAAAAAAUUUUCUCUUGGUAAAAAAUUUUUUUUUUUUUAAUUAGAGUAUAUAAAGCUCUUCAAUAAAAAAAUUCAAUUUUGAUUUAAAAAUAUAAAUUUUUGCUUUAAAUGUUUUUAGUUUCUCCGAACAAGAAAACAACUUGGUUGGCUUAAGAAAAUUUAGCUCUUGGUUUUAGAAGAUACCAACUCAUUGUAAAAACAUCGUUCUCUCGAAUGUAGUCGAUAUCGAUUCAUUUCGAUACAUCGAGUUUUUAAACGGAGGCACAUUAAACUUACUCCAAGUAAAAAUUAAUUUAUUUAAAGAUUUGAUAACAUUUAGUUCAAAAUAAAUGUAGACUUUAUCUAAAAACAAUUAAUUUUAGAUUAAAAAAAUAAAAAAUUCAUUUUAAAACUACCCUCGCAGAUUUGAAUCACGGUGGAAACACGGUGGGUUUGUUCCAUUUUACCACUGUGAUUACGCGGUGUAUCCACCACGAUUCCACGAUGGCUUUACCACCGUGUAUACACAGUGGUCAAGCCACCGUGGAAUCACGGUGGAUACACUGCUUAAUCACAGUGGAUACACUGUUUAUACCUGGUGGUGAAAUGGAACAAACCCACCGUGUAACCACGGUGGAUCCACGGUGUUUACACUUCCACGGUGUUUCUACCGUGAUUCAAAUCUGCGAGGGUAAAUUAUACAUUAAUGUAAAAUAAAAAAUACUUUUAUUUUAAAAUACAAUAAUUCAGUUCAAUUUUAAAUUAAUUGUUUUUAUUAAAAGUUCAAUUUUCAGAGUAUAUACAAUUAAUCAUCAAAAUAUAUUUUAAUUCUUUAUUACAAUAAAAAUUUUUUUUUUUGUUACAAAAAUAAAUGAAAGAUUAGGUUAUUUAUCCUGGCUUCAUCGACAGCAUCAACUGCAUGAUAUAUACCACACUAAAAAGGAAACAAUUUUAUAUAAAUUUAGGAUCAGAAAUGAUAACAAACGUGACUAUCUGAUAUGAUUAAAAACAGCAUAAAUAAUAAUUAACUUACUUUUUUAUGAUUGAAACGACACCAUUUAACUUAACGUGAAUCAGGAAAAAACACCAGAUAUAAUGACUAAUAACUACAAUAACUCACAUUUUUACCGAACACUUCAAUUCAAAACAAUUUAUGUAUAUGAAUUAGUUAAUUGUAUAAUUAAUAAACUAAUACUAUUAGAAUAUUGGUGUGUAAUAUAUAAUUGCACAUAUAUGGCACCAGCGCUGAACAGACUCGUUUCAUUUUUUUGGGAUCUUCGGGCGUCUACGUGUAUACACAAAGUAGUGUCCGAAGUAGAGAAGCCGCAUAGACCCGAGUGCUCCUGUUAUCCGAAUGCUGCUAUGGAAAAAAACCAAGAGCUUGAUUUUCUUGACUUGAAUUUUUUUUAUUUUUGUUUCAAGCAAUAGCCACUAGUUGGUUUAAGAAAUUUGACUCCUUACGUAGAGAAGUUAAAUUUCAUAGAAUAAAAUAUUCUAUAUACAUGAAUGAAGAAAUUCAAAAUAUUAAUUAAAAAAACAAUUUACUUUCUUCAAUUAUUUUUUCUUUUUGAACUAAAAUCAUAUAUUUUUAACUUAAAACUUUAACCCAUUUGGGUCGAAAAAAUAAAUUUUUGAAUCAAAAUAAUCAAAAUUAAGAGAAAAUUUUCUUCAACCUAGGAACAUCAUCUGCACCCAACCUAGUGUUCGUACCUGAGGUAAUCGUUCCAGCGAAUUUUUAUUUUAUUUUCUGUAUUAUUAUUUGAAGAUUCCAGUUUAUGGGCUUCACCCAAAAUUAAAAAAAAAAAAAAAAAAAAAAUUACUGUUUAUUUUGCUCAUUUAAUUAAUUACUCAAGUUAAAAAGAAGAAAAAAUAAUAAUAAUAAUAAUAAUAAUAAUAAUAAAUCAUUUAUAUACAUUUACCUCAGAAUACAAAACUAAUGACAGCUUUACGAGUCGAUUACACAGUAAGACAUACAUAACAAAAAAAAAAAAAAAUAAUAAUAAAUAUAUGUCGAUGUUACAUAUGAUAACAUUAAAAUAAUAUUUAAGAUUAUUUGAAAAGAAUAUAUGUAAAGAAAACAGAGCAUAUAAAAAUGUUAUAAAAUUAAAUGAUACAAAUAAUGAAAAAAUUAUUUACUUAAAUUUGGUGAACAUUUAAUUUAUAUAAAAAAAAAUGUAUUUUUGUAAUAUUGAAGCUACUUGCCAUUAAUUUAAAACAUGUUGUGAUAAUUAGUACUUAUCUUUGUAGCUCAAUUAUUAUUAUUUCAUUUCUCAUUUUUAUGCUUUGUUUAAUUUCUGCAAGAAAUGGGAUAUUGAUGAAUCCCAAUAAUGUUACCUGAAAAUAGUUAUUUAAUUAUUAAUUUAUUUAUUUAAUGACAUCAAUUUAUUAUUUUAUAGAACUGUUGUACGUGAUCCCCUAUUAUCAUGGUACUCUUUGUUUCUUUUUCGACUGAAAAUUACUGAGUAACUUUCAGUCUGGCUCGGGGGUGUAACGAGGUUGAUGACACCUCAUUAUCAUACCAUGAUAAUAGACUGUCACCGAGAUAAAAUUAUCAUAUGUUACCGCUAUUACCUGUUAAUUUAAUAAUAAUUAUUAUUAUUAAUUAAUAUUCCUUUUCCAUUUGCUAUUUUAAUGGAAGGGAUGCGCAUCUCGUCAGCACAUAAGCACCGGCGUGAAUUUAUAAAAAGGCCUGCGCGCCAAAUAUAAUCAGUUAUUUUUACUCAUUUACUUUCACUUUUCAUUAUGUCUUUAUAAUAAAUAUAG